rnacentral:tRNA from 1 species
GUGACUGCAGCUCAGUUGGUAGAGUAUUUGCCUAGGGUGCACAAAGCUCUGGGUUCAAUCCCCAGCACCACA